AACGCAUAUUGCGCUCGAGCCUUCGGGCAAGAGCAUGUCUGCCUCAGCGUCGGUUUACCCCCUCACACCCCUACCAUUUCUUAUGAUAGUGUCGAGCCAAUCGACUGGCUUGCGGGUGUGGACUUGGCCUCCCCAAUCAGCUAUCGAUUUAGCCGAUUGGGUUGGCUGAAGUGCAGAGGCUUGAGCAAGGACCCAUCAAUGGGCAUCGACUGGAUAGGUAGUGCCGCUUGAUUAUCUCAAUUAGGCGUCUACACGAAGUUGUUGCUCGUGGACCUUGCUGGAGGCCAGCAGGAAAACCUUCGAACAUUCGACCUGAGCUCAGGCAAGAACACCCGCUGAACUUAA
rnacentral:misc_RNA from 1 species